CCCUACAUUCUCUUUGGAGUGAAGUGUCCUCUCUAUGCAACAAGGAGUCCUCAAUGAAUUUAUGAAAAGCUGUACAUGAAGCCUUUUCAAGGACUGAAUUAUUCAAAGUAAUUUUAAGAAGAAGACAUCUUCUCUAUUGUCAUGCAUGCUUUCUAAAGCUCGAAGUAAUGAACGACAACCUGGAUGGCUUGGGUCAGAUUAUUGGGAUCAACUUAUUGUAUACUGGCAGUCUCCAGAGUUUUAAAAGAAGAGCGCCCAGACAAAGGCAACUCGAAAAUUCAAGAAGGGUGGCUCAUUGCACAUGUGUGGUUCAGUGUCCAUGGGAACAACUAUGAGGUAAUUGGUAAUUGAUGCUGAAGAGGAUGAGGAUGAGGAUGAGGAUGAUGGAGAAGAUGAAAUAGAGUAUUGGGUGGUGUUGUUAUUUUAGUUUUGGAUUUUGUUAGUGAGUGUUUGGAAGAAAUUAUUUUGCUACUUGUUUGCAUAUUAUUUAAGUUAGAUGAAUAUGUAUGAAGUUUGGUUACUCAAUUUUAAUGUUUGAAUUGUUUCAGAA